rnacentral:sRNA from 1 species
AGAGAUUGAAUCUGAACCGUCCAUUCUGGGAAGGGCAAACAAAACAGUGUUUGUGUCUCACGUUCUCUUCCUUCUCUAAUAGAGUCUUAAGCCGCUUUUUCACUCCUUAAACCCAAAAAAAAACAUUAGUACUAUUUCCUUCGGAGCCUGGCCGGCGAAUCCGACAGGUCGUUUCAGCUGUGUCCGAAGGAAAGUUCCAAUUUUUAUCUGUUUUUCUUCACGGAAAUCCAGUUAAGG